UCGCGUUCUUUUUGCGGCCCGCCGCGUGGCUGGGAGUCAUGGCGGCGGCGGGUAGGCUCAGUCUUAGGGCGGCGGUAAGGCUGCGGAGAUGGGAAAUGGGAUCGCCCUUGACACGGCGCUAAUCCACUUGCCUUCUCAGAGCCUCCUCUUCCUCAGAGGAGAAAUGGUGGCGAUAAGGCCGAUCUUCCCCCUCCUAGGUAACUGGGAGAAUUAAUGAGAUACUGGAUGAGAAAACGCGGCCCAGGCGUCGAGGGCUGAUGUUAUGUGGAGGCAGGGAGCGAGCUCAAGUCCGUCUCUGACGCCAAAGAGCCCCUUUUGGGAGACGGGCUGCAGCCUGUGCGAUCCCCUGUGCCUCCUGUGUGCUGUCUACCCUGGCCGCCCAGUGGGCGAACGAUCUGAGAGUGCAGUUUUUCAUGCAGCAUCGGGAGUCUUAACAGGCCUUUUUUUGGCAUCUGAAGAGAUGGGGAGAAGCAGAGCUGCGGGUUAAAAAUAAUGGAGAAACCCUGAAAAUGAGUACGAAUGGGUGCCCCUGGACCUGGGUGGUCACCAAAAAUGAGGAACUAGAGCUGGCGUGAAGGCCUGUCGUAAAUAUCUACCUCAUACUUUGUUCAGAAUUAAAGUUGCUGACGGUGGCUCUGAAAAAGCCACAUGAAAACCAUCACCUUAAGAUGUUGAGUAUAAGAAGCUUCGUGGUAAAAUACCUGUAGACGGUUAAAUGUGCUGACUGUGGACUUUGAGAAAUUCACAUGAAAACUGUCACCUUAAGACGUUGAAUAUAAGGAGCUUCGUGAUAAAAUACCUGUAGAUGGUUAAAGGUGCUGACUAUGGACUUUGAAAAAUUCACAUGAAAACCUUCACCUCAAGAUGUUGAGUAUAAGGAGCUUCGUGAUAAAAUACCUGUGCAGUUUGGGCCACCACUUCUGAGGAUGAACCGCAUCCCUCAGGAGGAGAAGCAACUAGCUGCAGUAGGGUCUGCCACCCUGGGCUGGGAGCUGAGCACUGAGACUGGAGCUGAGCCAGAUGUUGCUCCUGUGCGGAAGCAGAGAGGGUCCAAACAGGGAAACGAAUGAGCUCUUGGAAGCUGAGAUGGGAACGUGGAAUGUAGGCCAGCUGUCGUGGUGAAGGUGCCCGUGACCCUCUGACCCCCACCUCAGGAGAAGGUGCCGUGGUGUUGGCAGAGCGAUUCAGUUGCCAGGUGCUUUGUUACUGCACAGGGAGCUCUCCUGAGAAAUGUCUGGCUCUGCUGGCGCGGGGCUGCUCCUAAACAGGAGCAUGUGAACAGCCAAGUGGCACUUGGAGGGCUCUGGCUUUGUUUCCAUGUAAAUGCCAGGCCUGAGACGGGCACAGAAAGAUGGCUGUCUUUUCUCCUGAAGUUGUGGGGCGUGUGCCCACUCUAAGGUCACAGUUUCUGUUCGAUCACCAGGGGGCUGUGUUUGGGCCAAGCUUUCAUGAGCUUGAAAACUGGCCCCAGCAGCUUCCUGCCUGCAAGUGAAACAAAGUGGAAGGGCAUACCAACAGUGAGAAAAUCUGCUUCCCCGGUUCCCCUCUACUACUGAGUAGACUUGACUGCUCACAGAUGCCUCAUCAACCUUUAGGUUUGACUUUAAGGCUUUGCAUCUCGAGGGGCUCUGCGGGAGACCUGUCAGGGCUCCCUCAGCACUGGCUCCUACAGGCUGCAUUGUGGAGCCACCCUGGGAUGGCACCAGCUUGCUCUGAGGCCACGUGAUGGUGCCUGGACUGUGGGCCCCUCUCCCUAGCGGAGGCAUAUGCGUCACACAGGAUUGGUUGGAAUGGGUGCUCCUAAACUGCCCUUUCCCCUAACUCCAUCAUCCUUUGCAUUCAGCUUUCAGCUUUGAAUCAGUUGACCAUUAUUUCAAAUUGUUGUUCUUCGGCUUUACAGGUCGUGGCCUCACUUUGGACUGUGUGCCCCUUUGUGCUGUGACUCCAGGCACAGGACUUGUGCUCCUGGCCUCAGACCUGUUCACAGAGGUGACCGAUACAGCUCUGCUACUAACAGCCAGAGGAAAAGGGAGAAUCAUUCAGGAGCUCUGUGUGCUUCAUUUUCAGAAGUAGCCAAGGAGUUCAGCAGUGAGAUCCCAGAAAGCCAUUGGCAGGUAGUGAGAUAAGGGCCUAGCUGGGUGUGUUCUCACAGGUGGGGAGGACAGGGGGAUUGUAAAUGGAGGCUCAGGAGUUACCACAUAUGUACUCUGUUGGAAGAAGGCUGUAGGGGGAACAGGUGCUCAGCCUAGAGAAACAUUUCUGGAGUGGAUUUUGAAACACAAAUAAAAGUUUUUUUUUUUAACCUGA